GGGGGUAUAUGGUAUAUGACAAUGCAUACCUAACGUACUGCAGCAUGUUAAAUUAAUUUCACUGCAUGUAAGUUACUAAUGAAUGUUUUAACAUUAAGGGUAAUUACUCUUGAACCUCUGAAUAAAAAAACCUGCUUAAACAUGAAAUCCUUCAGUCCAAAGGCAGAACCUGACUUUGAUGAUUUAAAAGACAAAAGUGUUA
rnacentral:lncRNA from 1 species